AGCCAGGCCCUCCCAGGAGGCUGACUCACCCAUACCCACUCUUGUCAGGCUUGCUACCUCACUUGUUCAUUUGAGGAUGGCGGAUAGCCCUGUCACACAGAUUUCUGCACCCAUUGAUCCUGACCACUAAAAGAGGUCAGCAUGGAGCCGGUGGCACAGCUCAGUGGCACUGUGUGCUUAGCACGCUCAAGACGCUAGCUUUGAUCUCCAACACCACAGGACAGAGACAAGCGCGACUACUCUGCUUUACAGGUAGAAGAGUCUUGGAGGCUGCAUUACGGUUAGAUUCCCUAGCUGGUACGCCAUCCAUGAUAUCCAAUAGCCUCGUUCUCAAAACAUGACACAUCUCUACAUCAUUAAAUAUAGCAUGGGUUUUAAAAUGCUAAUACUCCAACAGCUUGCCUUUUGAUGAGUUGCAAGACUUGGGUUACCAUAAAUCGUCUUCUACUGGGUUCUGGUUCUGGUUAGAUGGCCUUUCUAUUUGAUCUGGGACCGGGAGGAUUAUCUGUGGUAAUUUCUCCAAGUUGUCCUGGCUUAGCAAGGAUCAUCUAGGACUUAGGGCUCAGGAUUUUGGUUGCAGGAUCCCAGGGAGCACUCGUUACAAGGUUUUAAGCUUUAACUGAGCAGGGUGAAGAGAGGACAAAGCCCCUCCUCCUCCUCCUCCUCCAGGCUCUUAAUUGGAGGGAUAAGAAUACCCCAGCUUGGGGCUGGGGAUUUAGCUCUGGGUUCCGUCCCCAGCUCCGAAAAAAAGAACCAAAAAAAAAAAAAAAAAAAAAAAGAA